UACGUAGGGUGCGAGCGUUGUCCGGAAUUAUUGGGCGUAAAGAGCUUGUAGGCGGUUUGUCGCGUCUGCCGUGAAAAUUCGAGGCUCAACCUCGAACUUGCGGUGGGUACGUGCAGACUAGAGUGUGGUAGGGGAGACUGGAAUUCCUGGUGUAGCGGUGAAAUGCGCAGACAUCAGGAGGAACACCGAUGGCGAAGGCAGGUCUCUGGGUCACGACUGACGCUGAGAAGCGAAAGCAUGGGGAGCGAACAGG
rnacentral:rRNA from 1 species